AUUGAACGCUGGCGGCAGGCCUAACACAUGCAAGUCGAACGAGUGGCGGACGGGUGAGUAAUGUCUGGGAAACUGCCCGAUGGAGGGGGAUAACUACUGGAACCGGUAGCUAAUACCGCAUACCAUCGGAUGUGCCCAGAUGGGAUUAGCUAGUAUGUGGGGUGACGGCUCACCUAGGCGACGAUCCCUAGCUGGUCUGAGAGGAUGAACCGCCACAGUGUAACUGAGACACGGUCCAGACUCCUACGGUAGGCAGCAGUGGGAAAUAGUGCACAAUGGGCGAAAGCCUGAUGCAGCCAGUCCGCGUGUAUGAAGAAGGCCUUCGGGUUGUAAAGUACUUUCAGCGAGGAGGCGUUACUCGCAGAAGAAGCACUGGCUAACUCCGUGCCAGCAGCCGCGGUAAUUC
rnacentral:rRNA from 1 species